GCUACCAUAAAUUUGUACACAAAUUUAGCAAACGUCGUGACAAGCUGGAAAAAGGCAGCAUUCAACUAAAGACAGCAGCCGAUACCGAGAAGAUGGUCGACGCCAGGGCUAGGAGCCUCGACCACACAGUAACUAAAAAAUUAACCAAAUAAAUAGAUGUCAGCGGAUCGAUUAAUGAGAAGUAGUGCAAUUGGCUGAGCUUUAAAAGCAUCAAAGUUUGUUACUGAUGUUAACUUAGUGUAAAUCAUAGUCGAGCGAUCAGUCCUUACCUAUCCUAGGUCUGCCUAAAAGAGUGCCUCAUAAAGAGCUUUGACCUCUCAAGUCCUUCAGCUCAAAUCGGCAAAGCUAUGCGGAGCUCUAACACUACCACAGGGAAAGCUAAAAUAGGUUAUUAUUAAUACAAAAUAAACACACAAAAGCCAGAGAACGAACCAGAAUAAAAUCCAACAAAAAGUAAGCAUUUUUACUAAUACUCAAAAAUUAAGAUAGCUCUUUAAUUAGAUUUUAGUAUUUAACGAUGAUUAUUUACAAUGCUCUGACCCGAUGGCGAUUUAUGAGCCAGUCUUUUGGCCAAUUCUGGCCAUCUCUGGCGCGAAUGGGAUAGCUGGGCUCAUCUACGAGGAGUUAUGAAAGCGGCACAGACCACCAUAUAAAUGCGAGAGGGUUGGAGGACCGGAGCUCUGCCUAGAGCUCAUAAACUUAAAAUUCCGCUUUAUCGCGGUAUCGCGGAUGCUCAGCUUUCCCCUUAUAAUAUAAACAUAGGUUAUACUAGAGAGUACGAGUAUGAGUAUAUGUAUAUGAAAUAAAAAACAAAUCUGCACGCACAUAAAGCGCCAGCCACAAAGAGGACCCUCCCCGGGUGACAUUUCCCUCUGUUUCUCUAUCCAUUCUCUUCAUUCUCCCCAUUUUCCCCCUUUCCACUCAUUCUCUUUCGCUUUCCUUUCUUUAAACAUUUCACGGGGUCGGACGGACGGUGGACACUUUUAUGCGUUUGAAAUGAAAAUGCCAUGUGCCAUUAACAUUAUCCCUGACGCGUCACUACUUAAAAUAAAAAUUUAUAUAUAUUUUAUAUGUAUAUAUGUACAAAGACAGCCAGAGAGAACACCUUUUGGUCGUGGCUCGCCUUUUAUAGCCAAUUUCUGGUUACCCACACCCACAGUGUGCAGCCAAUUUCAUGUCAAACUGCACCAGCAGCACCACCACCAUCGCAAAAUGAUAAUCCCGCGGUCGUAAAAAGAAUUUUUACUUUAUAUUGACUUUUAGUGUGAUAGUAGAGGCAGCUGAGAAAAAAGCGGAGCCAAGGUGCACAUGAAAUGUUAAUGGCAUGUCAAGAUUGUCCUUCCACAAAGCACAGGGAACACACAAAUGUUUUGCCACCUGCAACAAGAAAUGCAAAUGGAAAGGAGCCCAAGGAUGAUUUUAAAGGCUCCUUUUCUAUAUCUUAUUUGCCUAUGCCCAUUUCAUUCCCCAGACACAGGAAAGUUGAUCCUUUCCAAUAUUAAUUAACACUUCAAUACCACAACACCAAGAAGGGAGCGGAGCGCAGAAGCCCAAGACAAAGUUUUGCCUUCUGCCUGUUUCCGUUUGGUCUGCCGCUGACUUUUGGCCCCAACCAAACAAAAACUUUUGUGCCUAAAAAUGUGACUAUAGAAAUGUCUGCCACUGUACAAACCCACAAACAAAGUCACGCUGACACUAAUUAACAAUUAGGCGCAUUUUAGCGGCAUUUCCCCAGCCUUCGUUCUUCUGAUUCUUCCUUUCCAUCCUAGAGGCUGUCAGCGACUUGAGCAGGAACUUUGUGAACUACUUACAAGGCUAAUAACUAAUUUACUUCUGACUUUGGAUAAACUCCAUUCCACUUUUCAUUAGCCGGGUUCAGCUGUAGUGUCAUUUGCAGGGUUUGUCCCCAGCCUACAGUCGAGUUUUACGCUUAUUACUCAAGAAUUUCAAACUGACAAAUAAACACGUCUCUUAAAGUCGGAAAGUAGAAAGUCAGAAAGAGACCCACAGGAUUCUCCGCCACAAUGGCAACAAAAGCCACCGAGCACAGGCCUUGCACUUUUCGGUUUCAACGUCCUCCGGGGGGCUGGAAAAUGCCUGCCUGACGUCCUGACUUAUCUCUAGUCAUAUAUAAGCGUCAAGUUGUCCACGAGACGGAACGUAAUGGAAUGGGACGACUCGGGAGACUUUUAAGAAUUGCCACACAAUUGUCGAGAAACGACACCAACUGCUAGCCUCCGUCGCCGUCCCCGUUCACGUCUUCAUAUCCGGACCGUUCUGGGAGUCAUAAAAGAAAAAUUUAGCUUAUUUGCUGUAUAAAUACUGAGACCUCCGACGCUUUGGCUGUGCAGGGAUGGUCAUCCCUUCCCUUUGUCUGUCUGAGUGCCAUAAAAAUGGGAUGUGGCCUGCAGCGACGCUUAACUGUGUCCCCCUAUCCAGAUGAGAUGAAGCAUAACAAUUGCCGGUAAUAUUUAUGGAACAGCAGCUGAUGCUGAUUCCGGAUGAUUCAGCCCCUACAUAAGGCAGAAAUCUAUAGGAAUCAUUUGCAUUUUGAAUAUAUCUGAGAGUGGAGUUCCUUCCUCCAGGACCUUUCCAUUUCUAUCCUGAUCUAAGAAUCUGUGAGAUUUUUACAUUAGCCUCGUUACAUGUCAAAUGAGUGUCACUAAUUACAUAUUAAUUAGUUUCCUUUUACCAGGCACUCCCACUCCUCCUCCUCGCUCAUCCAGCAAAGCAGGCACAUCAUCAAUCAAACAGACAGAGAGAGAGGGGUCCACUAAUAAAAUAUAGAAAAAUGCAAAUGAAAAACUACUCAAGUCCGGGGCUCAGACUGUUGCCCUUCACUUAAUCAAUGUACAUAAUUCUAAUUAAAUUUUCAUUACCAGCAGAAAGGAAAAACAUCAACAUAAUAGCAGCAGCUGUGGCUGUGCUGGCUGUGCUGAUGUAAGCGUUUGGGGAAAUAUUAAGUAUACGGAUUGGUGCUCAUUUACCCAUUUCCUGCCUAAGUAAUUACAAUUUCAAUAAUUUAUUGGAAAAUAAACGUAGUCGAAUGCACUGGCCAGACAACUCCAGAUACAAAGAUACAAACCAGCAUAAGCAGCAGCAUUAAAUGGAGACGUUGAGACUAUGAUGCCUUCACAUUUCAAUCAAUUUUUGCCAAGCAAAUAUUAUUCGAAACCAGCACUCAUGUCCCACAAAGUUUUGCAAUCAUAACAGAGAGAGAGUUGAGAGCAAGCAAAUCCCCAGAAAAUAAUUAAUAACUUAAAUAUGUUUGCAUUGCAUUCUGAGCUAUCUGGUGUAAUCAGAUUAAGGCCUUUUCAGAUAUGAAUUGGUCGCAUUAUGGCAGGAUCUCAGUUGUCAGGUCCUAGCUCCUUCUCCGAGCUCUGACUAAGCUGUGAAAAUUAAUGGAGUAUUUAUUUGUUUGCUUAAUGAUUUAUUAGCUGCAAUCAGAGGCCAGACGCCUCGAAUGCCAAAGGGGUUUGCAGACAAUAAUUUAAGCCAUGGACAGGAAAAUUCCAGCAAUGUGAAAGUUGUGGCAUCUUCUGCAUUCAUUCACCAACAGAAUCAACAGAAACUCCUUCAUUAACCUGCCCUAAUUUAUUCUGCUUGGACUCCUUCUUCUCUUCUCUUCUCUUCUCUUCUCUGCUUUGAGUGCCACGCUCUGGGAUUGAGAACUAAUCCUCAGACGCUCAUUAGCAACCAUUAAAUGUCAAUUUACAUGUCAAUUGGCAACGGUGCACAGCAAAACAAGCCACCCUGCCAGCCAUCCAGAUAGCCAGCCAGUUGGUACAGUAAAAAAUAGAAUAAAGAACAGGGUGGGAAUGAGACAUGUGCUUUGAGCUUUGACUCUUGCGUUGUCAGCGACUCUCGGUUUAGUCUUUUUUUUUCCUCUGGCGCCGCUGUCUCCACUGUCUCUACAGUUUUUUGUAUAAUUUAUAGAGGCAACUGGCGCUUCCACCUUUGGCUUUCGCUAGGUCUUAAAAUACAAUUACGUUCCCCCCGGGGGAGGGUGGGGGGGGGCAAGGCAGCACAAAGGGAGAUAAGCAAAAACAUAACAUGCAACAAUUAGUGGCCUGUCCUUGCCUCCUGCCGUGGCACAUACAAAAGUUGCCAUGUGGUUAACUAAUUUAAUUUGGUUUUCUUUUUGCCUGUGCCACUCGACUCGGUUCUACAAGCCCCCUGCCCAAGCCAUCCUUUGACGACAGCAUCAAAGACAACGACACGUUAAUGACUUAUUUUGCCCCUUUGCCUAGGCAACAGACAACGAGGAUAUGGAACGAGAGGAGCAGGCAUGAACAUAAAAUCUAAACACUGCCACACAUGGCCGGCAAAGGAAUCACGAACAAGGAUGGAGACCAGGAGCCACUUAACUUGUCUAUAUGAGCCUAAUGGCCUUUAAUAUUAUUUUCACUGCUCUUUCCUUUAGCUCGAGGAGACCGAAAAAAAAGAAGCGACACGGGAAGGAGCUGAAAAAAACUGAAACAGCCAAAAGGGAAUCCCUGAAAGCCCUGUGUGCAUUUUAUCCCUGCCGGUCGCUCGGUCGGUCGCUCAGUCGGUCUCUGUCGUUGGGCCCCAGGUAAUUGUAGAAAAUUGCUGCAACGCCAGGCUAAACAUUGUGCAAAUCCUUUUGUCCUGCUCUCGUGUCUCCUCUGUCUACUUGGCUCUAUUUCCCCCUCUUCAGUCUAUGUAUGCUCGUUCCUUAGCCACCUUUCGCUCUCUAACUCUCUUUGGUUUUUUUGGCCGCAACUGUUAACAGCCAGUUGAACUAUGCCAUUUCAUAUGUACAACAGCAGGCGCCGCAAAGCAUGCUGCAUUAUUUUUACCAUUUCCCAGCCAGCCCCUGACCAAUGCUUCUCAUCCCGUCUGUUCCGACCCAACCCACUCUCAGCCAACGUGCUUUACAUUUUUAUUAAGCCAACCCUUUUCUCCUACUCCUCUUCGUUUUGUUGCUUAGCAUGCCAGGAGCGCUGUUUGGCUUAUUGCACGUGCUCAGGGUGGGGCGAAAGUGUAAAAGGCCAGAACGGGACCCAAAUGCCAUUAGGCUUAACCCGGACACAAGACAAUUGCCUGCAGGCCAUGUGUGCAUGCAUGGGUCCAACGUGUCGUAUUAGUUAUUUUCUACUUCGAUUGCUUUUGCCACUUUAGCGCGACAGCAGCUGUGCGGCGGGCUCCUUGUCUACCCGUGCAAGGACUGCCCGUGUGCCAAGUGUUUUGCCAAUUAUGUGAUGCUCAAUUUUCGAUAUGAUACGUAAGGCCAGACCUCAGAGCUCCAAAUAGAAGCUUAAAUGGUGUUUGGGCUUCCAAAGGGUAAGGGAAAGGAUUGGAAGCAGUCCCCAAUCUGGGUCUAUCCUUCCAAGCACAUCCCAGUAGAUUAGACUUAAGCGAAUCUAUUGAUCCCCAUUUUCCUCCCUUUGAACCGCUUUCUAGUAUAGUCUAGUCUAGACUAAGUACUCGGUAGUCCGUAAGUAUAAUUAAGCUAUGCAUUUGUUGAUUCCCAGCAUAUAUUUACCAUAUAUUUUCCAAGUAGUGGCUAACGUUUUCUAUUCCCCCUCAAUGUCUAUCCUUAAUUCCGUAGCCAGCUCGUAAUUGUGUGCGUGCCAGUGGCUGUUCUAUAUAUAUUUAAACAUACCACCAUACCGUAUACGUAUAUACAUAUCUAGCCAAUUAUUACUGUCAAUCAUUUGACAAUUUCUAUUCUCGUAAGUUAUAAGUUAAACAGAAACAAAAAACAAAUUUGUGCGAAAACUUUAACUAAAUAUCACCCAUUUUUGUCUUCUUUUCUUUCCUUUUUAUGUAACACUUGUACGUGCUCUGUAACAAAAAAAAAAUAUAUAUGAUUGAAAACGGAAAAAAAUAUAUACAUCAAAAUUGGCAAAAAUUGGAAAACUGACAAUUCUUCUACUUAUGAUUUUCCGAAAUUUCUGUAUUACUUUCCUUUUAUUUGAUUUGUUUCGACUCGGUUUGAAUUUUUCUAAAAACAAUAUUUUUCUUUCUUGAUGCAACAAUUUCCUCAAACCAAAACAAAAUAAUUAUGAAAACCAUUUGUUCCGCUUUUAAUAAUCCAAAUUUAUAAUUCCUACCCAUGACCCGAACCCCGUUACCCCACAUUAAUAAAUGUUGUAAAUGUAUUUGCUCUAUUGGUGCUCAAAAUAUCCACCCGAAACACCAACAAAAAUCUCUCGUUAACUAAAUGUUGUUGCUUUUACUUUUCUUUGGGUAUUUUGCGCCUGUUGAAAUCUUUGAAAUUAUAAAAAAACUCACAAUUACAUAAAUGUGCCUGCCUCGUUCUCGUUACUCGUUACAAAAACAAAAACAUACAACAACAAAAAAUUAACUAAAAAAAAACGAAAAUAUAUGUGCCACGUAUUAUGUAACCUUGUUACAUUUACAUUUGCAUUCCUAAAUAUGAUACAAAUACAUAUACCAAUAUACAAAAAAAAACAAUGAACACUUAUUCUUUUUCUGAAUUAAUUUUUUGUUUUCAUUUUAAUUUUGUGCGAACAUUUUCUGGCUAUGGGUCCUGAUUAAAAAAUUUUAAUUUUCUAAAAAAAAAUAAAACAAUCGCACACCCACAUUGACACUGCCACAUUGCCAUUUAUCCAUUUUGCUGCCUCUUUUGGUGCCUGAAAAAUCGAAAUCAAUCAAUCAAUCCGAUUCAACUCGAUCGUUUCGAUUCAAUCCGAUCAUAACAUUACAUGAAACAUGAACAAAACAUAACGAAAUCGAAACUGAAACCGAAAACGAACCACAACCAAAAAACCAUAAACCGAACCCAAAAUAGAGCAUCUAGAUCGCAAACUCUUCGUUGGCAUGCUCAGCAAACAACAGACCGAAGACGAUGUUAGACAAAUCUUCCACCCGUUUGGCUCUAUAGAGGAGUGCACCAUAUUGCGGGGCCCGGACGGUACGAGCAAAGG
rnacentral:lncRNA from 1 species